UCGCAGGUCAGCAUACUGCGGUGAAUACGUUCCCGGGUCUUGUACACACCGCCCGUCACACCAUGGGAGCCGGAAAUGCCCGAAGCCAGUGACCCAACCUUAGGGAGGGAGCUGUCGAAGGUGGAGCCGGUAACUGGGGUGAAGUCGUAACAAGGUAGC
rnacentral:rRNA from 1 species